rnacentral:rRNA from 1 species
AUUGAACGCUGGCGGCAGGCCUAACACAUGCAAGUCGAGCGGAUGAAGGGAGCUUGCUCCUGGAUUCAGCGGCGGACGGGUGAGUAAUGCCUAGGAAUCUGCCUGGUAGUGGGGGAUAACGUCCGGAAACGGGCGCUAAUACCGCAUACGUCCUGAGGGAGAAAGUGGGGGAUCUUCGGACCUCACGCUAUCAGAUGAGCCUAGGUCGGAUUAGCUAGUUGGUGGGGUAAAGGCCUACCAAGGCGACGAUCCGUAACUGGUGUGAGAGGAUGAUCAGUCACACUGGAACUGAGACACGGUCCAGACUCCUACGGGAGGCAGCAGUGGGGAAUAUUGGACAAAGGGCGAAAGCCUGAUCCAGCCAUGCCGCGUGUGUGAAGAAGGUCUUCGGAUUGUAAAGCACUUUAAGUUGGGAGGAAGGGCAGUAAGUUAAUACCUUGCUGUUUUGACGUUACCAACAGAAUAAGCACCGGCUAACUUCGUG